GACGAACGCUGGCGGCGUGCUUAACACAUGCAAGUCGAACGGUGAAAGCGGAGCUUGCUCCGCUGGAUCAGUGGCGAACGGGUGAGUAACACGUGGGCAACCUGCCCCUCACUUCGGGAUAACUCCGGGAAACCGGGGCUAAUACCGGAUAUGACCUCCUUGGGCAUCCUUGGAGGUGGAAAGUUUUUCGGUGAGGGAUGGGCCCGCGGCCUAUCAGCUUGUUGGUGAGGUAGUGGCUCACCAAGGCGACGACGGGUAGCCGGCCUGAGAGGGCGACCGGCCAGACUGGGACUGAGACACGGCCCAGACUCCUACGGGGGGCAGCAGGGGGGAAUAUUGCGCAAUGGGCGAAAGCCUGACGCAGCAACGCCGCGUGCGGGAUGACGGCCUUCGGGUUGUAAACCGCUUUCAGCAGGGAAGAAGCCGCAAGGUGACGGAACCUGCAGAAGAAGCACCGGCUAACUACGUGCCAGCCGCCGCUGUAA
rnacentral:rRNA from 1 species